UCCCUGGUAGCUCAGCUGAUAAAGAAUCUGCCUCCAAUGCAGGAGACCCUGGUUCAAUUCCUGGAUCGGGAA
rfam:TPA: Bos taurus chromosome 26, whole genome shotgun sequence.